CCUAAUCUCUCUCGCACAAAGUCUGCGUCUCAUCGAUUUUGCAGAUUACAUCAUUCUUUUUUUUUUUUUUUUUGCUUAUUUGGGAAAAAAUCUGAAAGGGAGUUGUUUUAUACGAUUUUUCGACUGGUGGAAAAAAUCUGGGAAAAAAAUAAUAUUUCCAUAUAUGCAUGAAAAAAAUGGGUUUAAUUGUUGGGCCUGAAAUCAAAUUCAUCGUUUUCCUUUCAAUUUAUUACACCACACAGAAACCUCGGUGUUUGAGGUCCAAAGAUUUAAGCUUUAAUGGCUCGGAAGCGGCUCUGACUUGAUUCCAAGUUUCAAUUGAACAAGUGUAAUAAAAGAUCGAAAGGUGAUAAUGACCGCAUUAGUCAGCUGCCGGAUGAUAUUCUCGUCGCUAUCAUAUCUUUGCUAUCGAUGAAGGAAGCUGCACGAACUAGUGUUCUUUCAUCUCGUUGGAUAAACUUGAUCUAUUUUGUCGAUUUGUUGGGUUUCAUAAAAUUGUCGAAAUGCAAUAAAACAAAGUCCAACGGCGAGUUGGAGGGAAUCAGUCUGGUGAAUCAUGUUCCGAAGUGUUUGAAAUCGUCGGUCGCUUCUACAUUGGGCAAAGACGACAAUUUGAGAAGUCAUCUAUUGAUAGAAACAUCUGAUUGCGAAACUUCAUCUGAAAAAUUGCCGCCGCGAGAAUCCGUUCCCAAGUAUCUGAAGCUGAUUAGACAUGUGUUGUACUCAAAGGUUUGGAAGAGGCAGAAUGAGAAGGUGAAGUCCACAGCUUCCUUAACGACGCCGUCCACUGCGCCAGCGAAUGCGCGUGUACAAUUAUCGUCGAGGAGUUCCUUGGAAGGUGGCAGGACGGGGGGAGCAUUAAGGGGAGCAUUAAGAUUCUAGCGAAGCAUUUGGUAAAAAGUCCAUCGGCCCCGGGUUCAUCCUGGCGGCUCCGCGUAUCCCUCAGGAGAGACGAUUUGUUGAUGGAACAACAAGAUGGAAUCCAAAGCGCCGUUCUCUAUUGCAAGAAAUCCUACAACUCCUCACCCGACAAAGGUACACUUCUCCCCAAAAUUGUAUGUUAUGUCAAAUUAAAUUUAAUUCUCGCUUAACAUUUACUUAUUGAAUUUCCCUAAUUCUUUCAUUUUGUACUUGUUUCAGAGUGAAUUUUGGGCUAAAAUGGUGCUUGUUCCUUCUGUUUACCUUCGUAAAGAAGCUCCAUACAUUACCCCAAUGUGAAUUGGACCAAAGGGUGAAAUCUUGUUGACUUUAGGAUCGACUUUCAUGAUUUACUGCCCAAAGGAUAAUCAGUUUAGGCAUCUCAUGAUGAGGGACUUUCGUGCCUUUCCUUAAGCGCAUGUUUACUACGAGAGUUUAGUCUCUCAUGUGUAAUGGUGAACCAGAAGGAGGCAAAUCUAGAGUUUUUAUGAGUAAUAAUCUAUAGCUAUUGUUUGUUCCCCAUGGUCUCUUGAUGGUUGUAUGAGUAUCUUAUCUUUUGCCUAUCAUUUAUUUCAGUAUCAAUAAAUAAAAAUGAAAUGAUCUUUUACUUGGAACUGUUUUGUACUUCAGUGGUAAAUUUGAUUCUGCA